UUCGGUAUAGUGUAAUAGUUAACAGAUCUGGUUCUCACCUAGGAGCUCGGGGUUCGAUUCCCUGUCUUGGAG